GCUAUAAACAUCCAUGUGCAGGUUUUCAUGUAGACAUAAGUUUUCAAUAUCUUUGGGUAAAUGCCGAGGAAUGUGAUUGCUGGAUUGUAUGAUAAGAGUAUGCUUAGUUUUGGGAGAAACUGCCCAGCUGUCUUUCAAAGUGGCUGUUCCAUUUUACAUUCCCACGAGCAAUGAAUGAGAGCUCCUGUUGCUCCACAUCUUCAAUAUUUGGUAUUGUCAGUGUUCUGGAUUUGGGUCAUUCUAAUAGGGUGGGCCCUAAUCCAAUCUGUCAUUAUAAGAAGAGGAAAUUUGGACACAAAAAGAGACACCAGGGGCGUAUGUACACAGAGAAAAGAUCACGUGAGGACACAGAGAGGUCUGCAAACCAAGAAGAGAAGCCUCAGAAGAAACAAAACCAGCCAACCCCUUGAUCUUGGACUUGUAGCUUCCAGAAUUGUGAGGAAAUAAAUUUCUGUUUUAAAGCCA
rnacentral:lncRNA from 10 species